GAACCGUCAGCAGCUCGCAGCGCAGGUGGUCUGAGACCACCCUUCACCCUGCUCCCAGUGGAGUGUUUUCAGGUGAUCCCUGCUCUGUCCGUCAGUCCUGACUCUGCCUGCAGUCUGGGUCUUGUGAUCCACCCCAGCAGGAUGGGCAACCUCCUCCCAGUGAAGGCUGAGAGAGACAGCGAAGAGCCAAUGGAAGUGGACAUGGCGAGAGAUCUAAAAGACGAUGUAGAGGAGAUGGAGGUGGACAUGAAAGAGGAUGUAGAAGAGGAGAUGGAAGUAGAGGAGGAAGGCGAGAAGGAGGAGGCCAUGAUCCUUGGAUAAGGACACCCCAGCCCAUCAGCAGGACUGACGGACCUGCCGGCCAUGGCAUUGGCCCCUCUGUACAUAUGUUUUUCAUUUUUUUCUGUAAAUAUGUUUUACAUUGUUCACUUUUUAAGAUUGUAGUUCUAAUAGAGAAGAUAGUUUAAGAUGAUAGAUUUCUAAUAAGAAGAUAGUUUUUUGAUAAUAGUUUUUUUAAGAAGAUAAGGUUUUAUUUAAAGAAGAUAAU